rnacentral:rRNA from 1 species
CCUACGGGUGGCUGCAGUGGGGAAUAUUGGACAAUGGGGGCAACCCUGAUCCAGCCAUGCCGCGUGUGUGAAGAAGGCCCUCGGGUUGUAAAGCACUUUCAGUGAGGAAGAACGCCUGGUGGUUAAUACCCAUCAGGAAAGACAUCACUCACAGAAGUAGCACCGGCUAACUCCGUGCCAGCAGCCGCGGUAAUACGGAGGGUGCGAGCGUUAAUCGGAAUUACUGGGCGUAAAGCGCGCGUAGGUGGCUUGAUAAGCCGGUUGUGAAAGCCCCGGGCUCAACCUGGGAACGGCAUCCGGAACUGUCAAGCUAGAGUGCAGGAGAGGAAGGUAGAAUUCCCGGUGUAGCGGUGAAAUGCGUAGAGAUCGGGAGGAAUACCAGUGGCGAAGGCGGCCUUCUGGACUGACACUGACACUGAGGUGCGAAAGCGUGGGUAGCAAACAGGAUUAGAUACCCUGGUAGUC